UGGGGAAUAUUGGACAAUGGGCGCAAGCCUGAUCCAGCCAUGCCGCGUGAGUGAUGAAGGCCCUAGGGUUGUAAAGCUCUUUCACCGGUGAAGAUAAUGACGGUAACCGGAGAAGAAGCCCCGGCUAACUUCGUGCCAGCAGCCGCGGUAAUACGAAGGGGGCUAGCGUUGGUCGGAUUUACUGGGCGUAAAGCGCACGUAGGCGGACUAUUAAGUCAGGGGUGAAAUCCCGGGGCUCAACCCCGGAACUGCCUUUGAUACUGGUAGUCUUGAGUUCGAGAGAGGUGAGUGGAAUUCCGAGUGUAGAGGUGAAAUUCGUAGAUAUUCGGAGGAACACCAGUGGCGAAGGCGGCUCACUGGCUCGAUACUGACGCUGAGGUGCGAAAGCGUGGGGAGCAAACAGG
rnacentral:rRNA from 1 species